rnacentral:tRNA from 1 species
UCCUCGAUAGCUCAGUUGGUAGAGCAAUUGACUGUUAAUCAAUGGGUCGUAGGUUCAAGUCCUACUCGAGGAGCCA